rnacentral:misc_RNA from 1 species
GAUGAAGAACGCAGCGAAAUGCGAUAAGUAGUGUGAAUUGCAGAAUUCAGUGAAUCAUCGAAUCUUUGAACGCACAUUGCGCCCUUUGGUAUUCCAAAGGGCAUGCCUGUUCGAGCGUCAUUUGUACCUUCAAGCUUUGCUUGGUGUUGGGCGUUUUUUGUCUCCCUCUUUCUGGGAGACUCGCCUUAAAACGAUUGGCAGCCGGCCUACUGGUUUCGGAGCGCAGCACAUAUUUUGCGCUUUGUAUCAGGAGAAAAGGACGGUAAUCCAUCAAGACUUCUACAUUUUUAACUUUUGACCUCGGAUCAGGUAGGGAUACCCGCUGAACUUAAGCAUAUCAAUAAGCGGAGGA